rnacentral:rRNA from 1 species
ACGCUUGAAGUCAGUCGCGUCGGUCGGAAAUCAACCUCGCUCUUGCUGGGUGUACUUUCUGUCCGAUGGGUCAGCAUCAGUUUUGGCCGCUGGAUAAAGUCCCUUGGGAAUGUGGCAUCCUUGGAUGCGUUAUAGCCCUUGGGACAUACGCAGCGGUCGGGAUUGAGGAACUCAGCACGCCGUGAGGCUGGGCUUUGUCCACACUUUACGUGCUUAGGAUGCUGGCAUAAUGGCUUUAAUCGACCCGUCUUGAAACACGGACCAAGGAGUC